CAUGUCAUAUUACAUCACGAAUGCAAUUGCUGGAAAUAGAACAAAUUUGGCAGCAAGUAGAGUGUUAUGACAUUAUUUUGAAGCUUCAGUACUUUCUGGAGUUUACAAACCUGGUCGUCAAAUAUCAAUCCAUCCACCACUCUGAUAAGAACAUAGACCACCCAUCGCCACUUUUGGGGAAAACCAUCUUUGUCUAACCAGAUUGUAUCAGUGAUGUAGUAUGACAUG
rnacentral:pre_miRNA from 1 species